GGCAAGUCGACCUAAAAAAGUGUUUUUUAUUUUUUUACAUUCCAUCGAUAUAAACAUGAAAUAUCACAUAUAUAUAUCACAUCCAUCACCAUAUAUAUCACAAAUAUCACAUCCAUCACCAUACAUAUCACAUCCAUCACCAUAUAUAUCACAUAUAUCACAACAAUUCGAUCCAUUACUCCGAACAAGUCUAUCACAAUUGUUCAAAUAACACAAGUGCAUGACAGCAAGUUAAUCUCAAAUCCAUGUGCAACACUAAGUGAACAAGACAUGAAAAUACAAGUGCGACUCACUGAGGAGGCCAUUGGCCCCAUGCUCUUGACUAAAGAGUGCCAUGAAGUGGAAUAUUCGAACCCGCUAACGGAGGUUGCACAAAGAGAAGAGAUUACAUGUGAGACAAGAUUACUUAAAUAGCUAAUCUACGAAUUACUUGCAUGUGUGAGAUUUACUCACAUGAGUAGCAUUUGUAUGAGGGGGAGGUAGAGGUGGCGCCAUUAGCCUAGGUGGCACAGGUACACCCGUAUGGGGCCCAAGAGCCUGCAUGAACUGAAGCAUGUCCGCAAAGCCUCUUCUCUUAAGACUCCCGCUCGGCCUCUCACUGGGCCCGCUCGGCCUCCAUCUGCAA
rnacentral:lncRNA from 1 species